rnacentral:rRNA from 1 species
AGAGUUUGAUCCUGGCUCAGGAUGAACGCUAGCUACAGGCUUAACACAUGCAAGUCGAGGGGCAGCAUUUCAGUUUGCUUGCAAACUGGAGAUGGCGACCGGCGCACGGGUGAGUAACACGUAUCCAACCUGCCGAUAACUCGGGGAUAGCCUUUCGAAAGAAAGAUUAAUACCCGAUGGUAUAAUCAGACCGCAUGGUCUAAUUAUUAAAGAAUUUCGGUUAUCGAUGGGGAUGCGUUCCAUUAGGCAGUUGGUGAGGUAACGGCUCACCAAACCUUCGAUGGAUAGGGGUUCUGAGAGGAACGGUCCCCCACAUUGGAACUGAGACACGGUCCAAACUCCUACGGGAGGCA